AGCAGCCAUUCAUUUAAAGAGUGCGUAACAGCUCACUAGUCGAGCGGUCCGGCAUGGAUAAUAAUCGGGCAUAAACAUAUUACCGAAGCUAUGGAUUUGUAUUUUAGAUACAUCUGGUAGGAGAGCAUUCUAUUUGCGCUGAAGCAGUACUGUGAGGUAUUGUGGAGCGGAUAGAAAAGAAAAUGUAGGCAUAAGUAACGAUAAAGCGGGCGAGAAACCCGCUCACCGAAAGACUAAGGUUUCCUCAGCCAUGCUAAUCAGCUGAGGGUUAGUCGGGACCUAACGCGAACCCGAAAGGGGUAGUGGAUGGACAAUGGGUUAAUAUUCCCAUACUUGCUCACACUAAAAAGGGGACGGAGUGCCGUACUUACUGGAGACUGACGGAAUAGUCAAGGCCUAGCCUUCGGGCGAAGCUGCUGUAGGGAAAGUGCUUCCAAGAAAAGCCGAAGUGAAGCAACCCGUACCAAAACCGACACAGGUAGUCGAGGAGAGAAUCCUAAGGUGCUAGAGUGAAUCAUGGUUAAGGAACUAGGCAAAAUAGUCUCGUAACUUCGGGAGAAGAGACGCCAUCAGCAAUGGUGGCCGCAGUAAAGAGGCCCAGGCGACUGUUUAUCAAAAACACAGGACUCUGCAAAAUCGAAAGAUGCAGUAUAGGGUCUGACACCUGCCCGGUGCUGGAAGGUUAAGGAAGGUGCUUAGGGUUAAACCGAAGGCAUUGACUGAAGCCCCAGUAAACGGCGGCCGUAACUAUAACGGUCCUAAGG
rnacentral:ncRNA from 1 species